CAGGCACUUGAGUGGGCAAAGUGCAGGUAGAGCCUGGGCAUUCCUGGUGAUGGUUUCUCAACUCUGUUUCCCAAGUGUACAUCAAUUUCAACCUUGAAAGUGUGAAUGGAAGAAGCUGAGUCCUGAGUGAGCUGCUGAUGAACGUGGGAACAAGCACUGCUGUCCCUCUGAGAUUGGGAAGGAAAUCACAACGCUCUACUUACUCCAAGAAUAGUAACGUGGGCAGUGGGAAGCAGUGUGUGGUGUGAGCUGUAUGCCAUGGAGGGCUGAGGCACAGAGAGGAGAAGACGUGAACCAAAAGGCUAUGCCCUGAAUAAAGUCAGAUGCUUUGGCACUAUUCAUAUUUCUGUCUGGAUGCUUUCAAGAAUGCAGUAUUUUAGUUUUAGAACAUCUGAAGGAACCCCCAGGGCCUUGGCAGCAGCACCUUCCCAGAACUCCUGGUUGAAGCAUGAGCGUGGUGGAAGGCACAGAGGUGAAAUGCAACCUUCCUGUGAGCUUCUGCUCCACACCACCUUCACUUCCAGCAAUCAGCCUGUGAUGGAGGAAUCUACAAUACCCCAGUGAUCGUCCUCCCGACUGGUAAUCCUGCAGGGAUUGCCAUGGUCAGCAUAGCUGGGAUGUUCUCUGCCUUGAGAUUUUAAUGAUGGAUUUUCAGACUGAAAGGACAAGAGCUGACUCCAUAUUAAUGCCAAACUUUAAAUGUUUUGACUAUACAACUGAAACACCAUUACCUAUUCCCCACAGAGCUCCACUCUUUCUUUCUCUCUCCUCCACUUCUCCUCUCCACACUGUAGCCUUUUGUAUGUCUCAGGCAUUAAUCCCUCGCUGCCGGGGUGUGUAAAUUAAAGAAUAAUAGAGCUGCAGAGGCAUAAGCUUGCAAUGAUGGGGAAUGUGUUUGUCUGCUAAGAAGCAAUUUCAGCGAAAAUUAACUCAAUUUCAUCUGAAAUAGUGAAGACCGGCAUAAGCUGGCAGAUCCCCGAGGAUGGUAAAAUUACUUCGUCAAAGCUCUGCUUGCUUAAAUUAACCAAGCAAGCACUCCAGGUUAUUGGCAAGAUGCAGCUAGUAACUAGGUUUUAAUAAACAAAAAUAGCUUUUUGGAUAAAUAAGGAAGGUGCAAAGUGUCUUAUGUAUUCUGUUGAUGUUUUCAUCUGUAUGACCUCGACAGCAAGACCUUCACAUUCCUGCAGGCGCAUUCUUUGAUUCCCUGUGUCCAACUGGUCUCUCUUCUGAGUCUUAGCAAACAACCUGAAAGUGCUUCUGGAGACGAUGUAAGAUUAGCUUUUAUUCCAGCAUCUAACAGACUGUUUGCAAUACCUAGGUGAGAGAACAGCAACGCCUUUUAGGGUUAUUUCUGUGUUUUUCAAAGUUGGAAGAUGACUAUUCUUGAUUUAAAUUGCUUCACCUCAAAAUAUAAUGCAGUGUCAGGACAAGAGUUAGUCUACACUGUCACUGAUACAGCAGAUUCCCCAGCUGAAUACAUUGCUGCCAAUUGGCAAGUCAGGAUGUGAGCUCCCUCCUCCUGCUAGGAGUAAAGGUCCAAGGGAAGUGAAAAUUUCAUUGUCAGAAAGAUUGAUUCAAGGAGCAGCUCAGAGAGCUUGUUAAUCACUUGAGAAUAUGCUGAAUUCUCCUUACGCUUCAGGUCUCUGCCUGCCAAGGUGUCAUCGCCUUGCUCUUUGCUCUCGGACUGCCAUGGUUCCCUCCAGCCCUUUUAGGCUUUCCUGCUUGAAGAUUAACCCUACAGUCUCAUGCUGGACAACUUAAUUCAGCUGAGGAGAAACAGCAGUACAUGACAGAUAAGAAAGUAAUUGCACCCUGAGGAAGCAUGAGGAGUGCCUGCGUCAUAUACACUUGCUUUACAAAACAGCAGCUACUUAUUCAAAGGAAGUGGCCUUUGGAAUCACAAACAGAGUACAUGGAAAAGACAUGCUUGCAGGAACCUCAUUAGAUUUCUAACAUGGCUAAGCAGGGCAGGUUCUAUCCUCGUUUUCUGCCAUUAGAGAUGGUGGAAAAACAGAUCGUGUAUCUCUUUGUUUUCCCGUGCUAAAUAUUUUGUGGCCAGAUCACAGGAGGAGGGCAGAGAGAUGGAAAAUUCAUGGUGAGAAGCCUGAGAGGAAGAGACAGGAGAGUUGGGAUUAGGCAGUUUA